rnacentral:rRNA from 1 species
UUAAAAAGCUCGUAGUUGAACCUUGGGCCUGGCUGGCCGGUCCGCCUCACCGCGUGCACUGGUCCGGCCGGGUCUUUCCUCCUGGGGAAUCGCAUGCCCUUCACUGGGUGUGUCGGGGAACCAGGACUUUUACUUUGAAAAAAUUAGAGUGUUCAAAGCAGGCAUAUGCUCGAAUACAUUAGCAUGGAAUAAUAGAAUAGGACGUGUGGUUCUAUUUUGUUGGUUUCUAGGACCGCCGUAAUGAUUAAUAGGGAUAGUCGGGGG